rfam:Pseudomonas sp. M30-35, complete genome.
GCAGCGGUAGUUCAGUUGGUUAGAAUACCGGCCUGUCACGCCGGGGGUCGCGGGUUCGAGUCCCGUCCGCUGCG